rnacentral:rRNA from 1 species
UGUGCCAGCCGCCGCGGUAAUACGUAGGGUGCGAGCGUUGUCCGGAAUUACUGGGCGUAAAGGGCUCGUAGUGGUUUGUCGCGUCGUCUGUGAAAUUCCGGGGCUUAACUCCGGGACGUGCAGGCGAUACGGGCAUAACUUGAGUACUGUAGGGGUAACUGGAAUUCCUGGUGUAGCGGUGAAAUGCGCAGAUAUCAGGAGGAACACCGAUGGCGAAGGCAGGUUACUGGGCAGUUACUGACGCUGAGGAGCGAAAGCAUGGGUAGCGAACAGGAUUAGAUACCCUGGUAGUC